rnacentral:rRNA from 1 species
GAGUUUGAUCAUGGCUCAGAACGAACGCUGGCGGCGUGGAUAAGACAUGCAAGUCGAACGCUGAUUUGUAGGUAGUAAUAUUUGCAAAUCGGAGUGGCGCAAGGGUGCGUAACACGUGGGCAAUCUACCGUGAAGCCUGGAAUAACUCGCUGAAAGGCGAGCUAAUACCGGAUGUGAAUAUUGGAGGGCCUCCUCUGACAUUCAAAGCUGGGGACCGCAAGGCCUGGCACUUCACGAUGAGCCCGCGGCCUAUCAGCUAGUUGGUGAGGUAACGGCUCACCAAGGCUAAGACGGGUAGCUGGUCUGAGAGGACGACCAGCCUCACUGGAACUGAGACACGGUCCAGACACCUACGGGUGGCAGCAGUCGAGAAUUUUUCUCAAUGGGCGAAAGCCUGAAGGAGCGACGCUGCGUGGGGGAUGAAUGGCUUCGGCCCGUAAACCCCUGUCAUUUGCGAACAAAUGGUUUUACCUAACACGUAAAGCCUUGAUAGUAGCGGAAGAAGAAAGGGACGGCUAACUCUGUGCCAGCAGCCGCGGUAAUACAGAGGUCCCCAGCCGUUGUUCGGAUUCACUGGGCGUAAAGGGUGCGUAGGCGGCCGGGUAAGUCUGAUGUGAAAUCCCGCAGCUCAACUGCGGAACGGCAUUGGAUACUAUUCGGCUCGAGGAGUGGAGGGGAGACUGGAAUACUUGGUGUAGCAGUGAAAUGCGUAGAUAUCAAGUGGAACACCAGUGGCGAAGGCGAGUCUCUGGACACUUCCUGACGCUGAGGCACGAAAGCCAGGGGAGCAAACGGGAUUAGAUACCCCGGUAGUCCUGGCCCCAAACGGUGCGCGUUUGCUGUGAGCGGAAUCGACCCCGCUCGUGGCGAAGCUAACGCGUUAAACGCGCCGCCUGGGAAGUACGGCCGCAAGGUUAAAACUCAAAGAAAUUGACGGGGGCCUGCACAAGCGGUGGAGUAUGUGGCUCAAUUCGAUGCAACGCGAAGAACCUUACCUGGCCUUGACAUGCAAGUGGUAGAACCAUGAAAGUGGGACGACCCCGCAAGGGGAGCUUGCACAGGUGCUGCAUGGCUGUCGUCAGCUCGUGUCGUGAGAUGUUGGGUUAAGUCCCGCAACGAGCGCAACCCCUGUGUCCUGUUGCCACCCGGUCGCAAGACUGGAGCACUCUGGACAGACUGCCUCGCUUCAACGAGGAGGAAGGUGGGGAUGACGUCAAGUCAGGAUGGCCCUUACGGCCAGGGCUGCACACGUACUACAAUGCCCGGCACAAAGGGAAGCAAGACUGUAAAGUGGAGCAAAUCCCCAAAAACCGGGCCCAGUUCAGAUUGUCGUCUGCAACUCGACGGCAUGAAGCUGGAAUCGCUAGUAAUGGCGCAUCAGCUACGGCGCCGUGAAUACGUUCCCAGGCCUUGUACACACCGCCCGUCACAUCAUGAAAGCCGGUUGCACCCGAAGCCGCCCCUUAAAAGGUGUCGAAGGUAUGACUGGUGAUUGGGAUGAAGUCGUAACAAGGUAACCGU